rnacentral:rRNA from 1 species
GACGAACGCNGGCGGCGUGCCUAAUACAUGCAAGUCGAGCGAAGUUUUUCUGGUGCUUGCACUAGAAAAACUNAGCGGCGAACGGGUGAGUAACACGUAAAGAACCUGCCUCAUAGACUGGGACAACUAUUGGAAACGAUAGCUAAUACCGGAUAACAGUAUUUCUCGCAUGAGAGAUAUUUAAAAGUUGGUUAUGCUAACACUAUGAGAUGGCUUUGCGGUGCAUUAGCUAGUUGGUGGGGUAAAGGCCUACCAAGGCGACGAUGCAUAGCCGACCUGAGAGGGUGAUCGGCCACACUGGGACUGAGACACGGCCCAGACUCCUACGGGAGGCAGCAGUAGGGAAUCUUCCGCAAUGGGCGAAAGCCUGACGGAGCAACGCCGCGUGAGUGAAGAAGGAUUUCGGUUCGUAAAGCUCUGUUGUUAGGGAAGAANGGAUAUGUAGUAACUAUACANGUAAGAGA